GCAACACUAACGCCUAACUUGGUAAAAAACUUAGCUUUAAUCCUUCCUUUACUGUUCAUUAUAUGAACCAUUAUCCUGCCGCCCUUAUAACCGUCGUGACUGCUCUCGCUUAUCCUGGUAUCGGGGCAACCUUGUCACUGCACCACCACUGCUGCCAUCACCACCUUAUCACUGCACCACCUCUGCUGCCAUCACCAUCUUGUCACUGCACCACCUCUGCUGCCAUCACCACCUUGUCACUGCACCACCACUGCUGCCAUCACCACCUUGUCACUUCACCACCUCUGCUGCCAUCACCACCUUGUCAUUUCACCACCUCUGCUGCCAUCACCACCUUGUCACUGCACCACCACUGCUGCCAUCACCACCUUGUCACUGCACCACCUCUGCUGCCAUCACCAUCUUGUCACUGCACCACCACUGCUGCCAUCACCACCUUGUCACUGCACCGCCUCUGCUGCCAUCACCACCUUGUCACUGCACCACCUCUGCUGCCAUCACCACCUUGUCACUGCGCCACCACUGCUACCAUCACCACCUUGUCCCUUCACCACCACUGCUGCCUUCACCACCAUAUCCCUUCACCACAAUGAGGUACUUCACUGUUCUCGCUGGACUCUGUAGCCUGCGGACAGACAUCACUUCUCACACGCGCUGUACCGGGAGCCCCCCACCCCGGACCACUCCCCGCCCUCCGCUGAGAUCGCGCAGAGCAUCAUUAAAGAGCAGAUCCUGCGCAUCCAGGAACCUCGUGAGGAAAAGCGGUUGGGAUUUGGCGAGGUGGGCGGAAGCGGAGAGGAAGCUGUGGUGCUGAGGAGGCCCUCGAGAGCGGCGACCUCCUCCUCCUCCCCCUGCCACGGGGCUACUGACGACAUCAUCGUCGAGGACAUCUGCUCUGAGCAACCCUUUGCGGGUCUGAUGCGGGGCAGCGGGCUGAUGGAGUGGGCUGGCGAGACCCCCGUACGCCUCCAGCCCCCCACCUACUCCCCCCCA
rnacentral:lncRNA from 1 species